ACCAUCUUCCCAUGAUCUUACUCUGCUGUGACUGUAUGGCUGAAACACUCAAACAGAUAUUUCAUGCGCUUUCACCACACCACUGAUGGUUAAUCCAUUGUGUUAACCGGAUCUGUUCGGCACUGAAGAGUAACAGGAGUAUUGUACACAGAUCAGAUAUACAGGACAAUGUAAGGGAAGAAUGCAGUAACUACACACAAUGCAUGGAUACCAUGAUGUACUGAUGAUGAUGGCAGUAGCCACUAGAUGUCCCUGUCUAAACACAUUUGGCUUGGCUAAGAAGCUGCUGGCACAGAUGCAAACAAUUUAUGAAAAAUAGCAAAACGGACCGCUAAGAUGGCAAUACAGUAAACAUGAAGAAAAUCUAAUACA